UUUUUCCAGUUAUGAUAUAUUACUGUCCCAGGUGUCAAAAAUUCUUUACAGAAUUUUAUUACUGGGUUUAUCGAGAUGGAGGGAUAACUUAUUUACUUAAUAACAUAAUAUCAGUAGAAGAAAUUUAUUAACAUAAGAAAUUAAAUUUACAUUAUAUGGAAUUUCCUGUCAGCUGACUUGGUAGUCGGGGUGACCAGGAUCCGCCAUUUUAUCCAACAAGAUGGAUCCUCGUCUCAGUGCCCAGGACGUGGUACGGUGUGACCUUUGUAAGGAUAACCUUGUACAGAAUUAUUGUGACUAUUGUCAUGUCCAACUAUGUAAGCUUUGUAUAGGAGAACACAUCUCAGAUGAAUAUGACAAACAUAAAAUUGUCCCAUUCCAGCAACGAAAAUCCACCCUGAUUUUUCCAAUUUGUAAAAAACAUUCCAAAGAAACAAGCAAACUGCAAUGCAUGUCAUGUAACAAUUCUAUUUGCGCCAAAUGCUCGGUAUUAAAAGAGCGCAAAGGUCAUAAUGUAGUAGACGUAGAAGACAGCUACAAUUCGAAGAAAUAAAACAUUAAAAAAGAUACAGAAGAAAUAGAAACUGUAAUUUCACCAACAUAUGAAGAAUUAAGAAAAGCAUUGGAGAGCAAGAUUGCCAGCCUAGAUGGAGGGUAUGAAAAAAUUACCACAAUAAUGUCAAAACAAGGAGAGGAAUGGCAUAAAGAAAUUGAUAGAUCUAUCAAACAAAUGAAGAACGAAAUAAACGAGAUCAAAGUAAGCCAUCGGGACAUCUUGAUGAAGCAUUUAAAAGAGAUAAAACAGAUAGAGUCUAUGAUAAAAAAAAACUUAUCAACUUUGAAGGACCUACAGAGGGAAUCCAAUGUUGUGUCUACAAUCAUAGAAUACAGUUCAAGAAACAACGAAUUUGGUAAACUUCCUCCAAAAAUUCACGUGGAAGUGCCUACAUUUUGUCCGAGGCCAGUAGAUAGAAUAGAAGCUAAAACAUUAAUUGGAUCCAUCAAACCUCUAACAUCUGCCACAAUUGAAAAUGGCUACACCUUAAAGAAACAAAGGGGGUCCUCCAGAGAACUGUUGGAUACACCAGUGGUCAUCAACACGUUUAACACUGGGUAUACCAAUCUCAGAUAUGUUUUCUUUUACAGCGAACAAGAAAUCUGGGCGUCUGCUGAAGUUAACGAAAUAAAAUGCUUUAACGUUAAAGAUAACUCAAUCAAUGCAAUCAAAACAAAGUCUAAAAAAUAUCCAAAUGAUAUAGCAGUCACAGCUGAAGGAUGUUUACUGUACAGUGACUGGAAAUUGCGCACUGUAAAUAAAGUAGUGAAUGGUCAGAUAGAAAAAAUAAUCACUCUACAGGGAUGGAUACCCUGUAAUCUGUGUGCCACGUCCUCCGGUGAUCUUCUGCUAGAAAUGUGUAAUGAUGGCAAACCCCAAUGCAAAGUUAUUCGAUACUCAGGCUCAGUUGAGAAACAAACGAUUCAAUUUGAAGAAAACGGUAAACCUCUCUACUCAGGGGAUUAUGAAAUAAAAAGCAUCGCAGAAAACAGAAACCUAGAUAUAUGUGUGGCUGACGUUGCAGCCGGUGCAGUGGUAGUUGUUAGUCAGGCUGGGAAACUCCGAUUCCGUUACACCGGUCAUCCAUCAAAGGAGAAUCUGUUUAAACCUCGUGGCAUCACAACAAACAGUCAGAGUGAGAUAGUGAUAGCAGACUUGGCUAAUACCUGUAUCCACAUUCUGAACCAGGAUGGCCAGUUCUUGCGUUUAAUUGAUAACAUUAAUGAACCGAGUGGCUUGUCUGUUGACACACUUGACAACUUAUUCGUUGCCGAGUACAAAACUGGAGAUGUUAAGGUCAUCAAAUAUCUUCAGUGAACGACCGUGUGUUAAAAGUUGGUACGCUGUCUUACCUUAUUUUAUUGAAAUGACUCCAUUGUGUUCUAUGUUCUUUAGGCAUAUUUGAUUUAAGUUUUUUUUACUCUAUACGUUUACUAGUACUUACUGUAAUAUAUUAAAAAAGAUGAUGCUACAGUAACUUUCUCUUUAGAGUUUUGAAGUGAUCCAUGUUUUAAUUUCUGUACCAAUUUAUAUUAGACGCGUUAUUUUGUAAAUGCAUGUUAAAGUGUCAUUUGAUGUAUAACACCUGUUUUAUGAUAAAUAUGUAGACACACAAGAGCUACUAUCUUUUUUACAUAAUGAAAAAAAAUAUUUAUGCAUUAAUUAUAUCACUGUUGCUGUAUAUAUUAAACAAACAACAAAUUC
rnacentral:misc_RNA from 1 species